rnacentral:siRNA from 1 species
CCUCUUACGGACCCGUAAGAUGGG